UGGCAAGUUUUAAUGAUCUGCCCCCGAUCAGCUACUACCUGGCUGGUGCCCACAACUCCUACAGCUGCGUCCGAUAAAUUAUAUCCGGGAACUGCCCAUGUCUCACCCAAGUCUCAGCAGGAUACCAUGACUUGUUUAACUUUGUACAAUUCCCGGAGCCUAAGUUCCAUUCUACGCUGACAGUUACAUAACUAUUUCUCCCCUACGCCUUCCCGGCGCCCUAGACGGGAAAGCUUAGCCUGCCCGGACAACUGUUGUAUGCGGCGAAAUGCUGCACGAGCCUUGUCGGCUUCCGUCUUCCGCUGUUUAAUUUCGACUCUGGAGUUCACAAAAUGGCCAUUCCUGUAACGCAGUCCGUGUUUCCGGAGAUUGUCAGCACAGUAAAUAUCCAUCCAAGCCUUCUUCCUCGUCAACGAAACAUGUCGUUUGCGGUACCCACACAUCAACAGGACUUCUAAGCCUGCCACGGUUGCCUUUCCUCCACAGAAGUGUGGAGCUGACUAGCUGUGGGGCAGGAGCAACCAAGCAGAUACCAAGACUCCAGGAAGACGAUGGGAUGGUUCCUUGAUCCUAGGCACUCUCCAGUUCACUGGGUUCUUGUUCACUUUGUAACACUGGAAACUGAUUACCACUGCACAGUGUGUGCUAUGACAGCAUCGGCAGUAUUACUGGUUAUUGUCUAAGUGGCACUGCACCCUCGGUGUGUUCUUCCAGCCACGGUAUUCAGGGUGCAGGACUGCACAGGCAAUUACAUGCAAAUUUGUUGGGAGCGAGGAGGUUCGUUUACUACAUUCAAGCCCAUAGAAGAUCAAUAGAAAUGCAGAAGCUAAUCCUGUAUGAAAGCCCCACGGUCAGGUAAUGGUUGCAGAGUUAAGGCCUGCAAAAGAAUGUUAGGAAUCAGAGAGGCGCGUGAGAGAAAAGCGUUAUGCCUAAGUGCUUUUUUGAACCAUAUGGGAAAGACAAGAGACAAAACGAACCAAAAGCAUUGGAACACAAGAAGGUAGACACGCAGUUCAACGCAAAUUGUUAGCGGGUUCUCAAAAGAUGUGAAUGGGGAUUGGACCAAUUAAAAAUGGCUGCCUGGAAAACCUUUUGUUGGCUAUUCGAAGAAUAGCAUUGUGCAGACUCUUAAAGUUUAAGUCCUACAAGCUACGCCUGCAUUUAGCUCCUGAGCAAAAGAACCCCUUCGUGCCUGUGUUCCCUUUCGGGUUUUGUGAUUUCUUAUUCUGGUGUUUUCUCCCAGGCAAGGCCAUGUGCCCUGUUGGCAUUUAAUAAAAGUUGAACACUUCACAAUGGAAAGCAUGAGAAAACUAUGCAAAGUUUA